rnacentral:siRNA from 1 species
AUACGUUGUAUAAUUCAGGUACGA